rnacentral:rRNA from 1 species
CUACGGGCUGCUCCAGUGAGGAAUAUUGCACAAUGGGGGAAACCCUGAUGCAGCAACGCCGCGUGGAGGAUGACGCAUUUCGGUGUGUAAACUCCUUUUAUGGGUCAAGAAAAUGAUGGUAGCUCAUGAAUAAGCACCGGCUAACUCCGUGCCAGCGAGCCGCGGUAAUACGGAGGGUGCAAGCGUUACUCGGAAUCACUGGGCGUAAAGGACGCGUAGGCGGGUUGGAAAGUCAGGUGUGAAAUCCUACGGCUUAACUGUAGAACUGCACUUGAAACUUCUAAUCUAGAGUAUGGGAGGGGGAGAUGGAAUUAGUGGUGUAGGGGUAAAAUCCGUAGAUAUCACUAGGAAUACCUAAAGCGAAGGCGAUCUCCUGGAACAUUACUGACGCUAAGGCGUGAAAGCGUGGGGAGCAAACAGGAUUAGAUACCCUAGUAGUC